rnacentral:lncRNA from 1 species
UCGAGACCUGCCCCUUGGAAAGGCAGGUGCCACAUUAUUCACUGAUGGGAGCAGCUGUGUGCCCCAGGUCUGCAGGGGCAGCCAUAGUGACACUCACAGAGGAGCAAGAAAGGAGACUGAAAAUCAGAGAUCUCAGCCCCCUAUCUGGUUGCCAGGAAGAUUUGCCAUCAUCCAUUGCCCAGGGCACUGGAAGGGGACUCGACUGAAGCCUGAGGCAACAGAUUUGCUGAUGCCAUGGCAGAAGGGCAGCCAGUGUGGUCAUUACAAAGGUUGGGUUCUGUAGUGUGCAAUUAAA